rnacentral:rRNA from 1 species
UGAGUACGAGAUGCUACGGCAUCGAAGCAGUCUAUGUCAUACUUCCAAGAAAAGCUUGCACUGUCAUAAACAAAGAAUGCCUGUACCAUAACCGACACAGGUGGGUAGGUAGAGUAUACUAAGGGGCGCGAGAUAACUCUCUCUAAGGAACUCGGCAAAAUGACUCCGUAACUUCGGGAGAAGGAGUGCCUUAUUUCUAAGGUUGCAAUAACAAGAUCCAAGCAACUGUUUACCAAAAACACAGGUCUCCGCUAAGUCGUAAGACGAUGUAUGGGGGCUGACGCCUGCCCAGUGCCAGAAGGUUAAAGAAGUUGGUUAGCAUUAGCGAAGCUGAUAACUGAAGCCCUGGUGAACGGCGGCCGUAACGAUAACGGUCCUAAGGUAGCGAAAUUCCUUGUCGGGUAAGUUCCGACCCGCACGAAAGGCGUAAUGAUUUGGAUACUGUCUCGGAGAGGGGCUCGGUGAAAUAGACUUGUCUGUGAAGAUGCGGACUACCUGCACCUGGACAGAAAGACCCUAUGAAGCUUUACUGUAACUUGAGAAAAUUGGACUUUAUUUGCGCAGUAUAGGUGGGAGGCGUUGAGAAUAAUCUUGCGGGAUUGUUGGAGCCAUCAGUGAGAUACCACUCUUGUAAUGUUAGAUUUCUAACUUUGUAUCAUUAUCUGGUCAAAGAACAGUUUCAGGCGGGCAGUUUGACUGGGGCGGUCGCCUCCCAAAGGGUAACGGAGGCGCACAAAGGUUUCCUCUGAACGGGUAGAAAUCGUAUCUAGAGUGUAAAGGCAUAAGGAAGCUUGACUGUGAGACCUACAAGUCGAGCAGGGACGAAAGUCGGUCUUAGUGAUCUGACGGUGCUGAGUGGAAAGGCCGUCACUCAACGGAUAAAAGUUACUCUAGGAUAACAGGCUGAUCUCCCCCAAGAGUUCACAUCGACGGGGAGGUUUGGCACCUCGAUGUCGGCUCAUCGCAUCCUGGGGCGGUAGUCCGUCCCAAGGGUUGGGCUGUUCGCCCAUGAAAGCGGUACGCGAGCUGGGUUCAGAACGUCGUGAGACAGUUCGGUCCAUAUCCGGUGUAGGCGUUAGAAUAUUGAGAGGAGCCUUCUCUAGUACGAGAGGACCGAGAAGGACAUACCUCUGGUGUACCAGUUAUCGUGCCAACGGUAAACGCUGGGUAGCUAUGUAUGGAGUGGAUAACCGCUGAAAGCAUCUAAGUGGGAAGCCCACCUCAAGAUAAGUAUUCAC